rnacentral:rRNA from 1 species
ACGGCUCAGUAACACGUAGUCAACAUGCCCAGGGGACGUGGAUAACCUCGGGAAACUGAGGAUAAACCGCGAUAGGUCAUCACUUCUGGAAUGGGUAAUGACUUAAAUCUAUAUGGCCCCUGGAUUGGACUGCGGCCGAUCAGGCUGUUGGUGAGGUAAUGGCCCACCAAACCUGUAACCGGUACGGGCUCUGAGAGGAGGAGCCCGGAGAUGGGCACUGAGACAAGGGCCCAGGCCCUAUGGGGCGCAGCAGGCGCGAAACCUCUGCAAUAGGCGAAAGCUUGACAGGGUUACUCUGAGUGAUUUCCGUUAAGGAGAUCUUUUGGCACCUCUAAAAAUGGUGCAGAAUAAGGGGUGGGCAAGUCUGGUGUCAGCCGCCGCGGUAAUACCAGCACCCCGAGUGGUCGGGACGUUUAUUGGGCCUAAAGUAUCCGUAGCCGGUUCUACAAGUCUUCCGUUAAAUCCACCUGCUUAACAGAUGGGCUGCGGAAGAUACUAUAGAGCUAGGAGGCGGGAGAGGCAAGCGGUACUCGAUGGGUAGGGGUAAAAUCCGUUGAUCCAUUGAAGACCACCAGUGGCGAAGGCGGCUUGCCAGGACGCGCUCGACGGUGAGGGAUGAAAGCUGGGGGAGCAAACCGGAUUAGAUACCCGGGUAGUCCCAGCUGUAAACGAUGCAGACUCGGUGAUGAGUUGGCUUAUUGCUAACUCAGUGCCGCAGGGAAGCCGUUAAGUUUGCCGCCUGGGGAGUACGGUCGCAAGACUGAAACUUAAAGGAAUUGGCGGGGGAGCAC